GACGAACGCUGGUGGCGUGCCUAACACAUGCAAGUCGAGCGGAGAUUGCAGCAAUGUAAUCUUAGCGGCGGACGGGUGAGUAACGCGUGGGUAACCUGCCUUUAACUGGGGGAUAACACAGGGAAACUUGUGCUAAUACCGCAUAAUAUCAUGAGAGGACAUCCUCAUAUGAUCAAAGGAGUAAUCCGGUAAAAGAUGGACCCGCGUCCGAUUAGCUAGUUGGUGAGGUAAAGGCCCACCAAGGCGACGAUCGGUAGCCGAACUGAGAGGUUGAUCGGCCACAUUGGGACUGAGACACGGCCCAGACUCCUACGGGAGGCUG
rnacentral:rRNA from 1 species